rnacentral:rRNA from 1 species
AUGGCUCCGGUGAAGCUGUACGGCAUGACCAUGUCGUGGAACGUGACGAGGUGCGUGGCGGCCCUGGAGGAGGCCGGCGUCGAGUACGACGUCGUGCCCAUCGACUUCGGCGCCGGCGAGCACAAGACCCCCGACCACCUCGCCAGGAACAGGUGUGACAUCCGAUUGACAAAAACCUCACUGUCUUCAUAUGGUCCUCUGCAGCCCUUUGGUCAGAUGCCGGUUUUGCAGGAUGGCGACUUCUACGUCUGGGAAUCGCGUGCUAUUUGCAAGUACACAUGCCGCAAGAACAAACCGGAGCUGUUGAAGCAGGGCAACCUCAAGGAAUCGGCAAUGGUAGAUGUGUGGCUCGAGGUGGAGGCCCAUCAGUACACCGCCGCACUGGAGCCCGUUAUCCUCGAGUGCCUCAUCCGUCCUAUGUUCGGGCGAGCCACUGACCAGAAAAUUGUUGAGGAUAACCUUGUGAAACUGAAGAAGGUGCUGGAGGUGUACGAGGCGCGACUGAGCAAGUGCAAGUACCUGGCUGGAGACUUCCUCAGCCUCGCGGACCUUAACCAUGUGUCUGCUACCGCAUGUCUGGCGACUACACCCUAUGCUUCUUUGUUCGACGCGUAUCCGCAUGUGAAAGCCUGGUGGUCUGGCCUGAUGGCGAGGCCGUCCGUCCAGAAGAUCACUGCACUAAAGAAGCCGUAUUUUCAGAAUAGUGUCUAG